GGGAGGUGUGAUCAUUGUCAGGAGGAGAUGGAGACAGUGGAACAUUUUCUAUUUCAGUUCCAGAAAUAUGUGAGAGAAAGGGAGCGAUUGUUAUUAGAUUUGAGGAGUAAUGGGGUUGCAGAGCCAGGAUUAAGUGAACUGCUGGGGAAAUCUUCAGGGGAUGUAGUAUUUAAUUAUGUAUUUAGUUUCUUUCGGGAGACAAGAUUAUUGGGUAGGAUUUAGAACUUCACUGUCUCUGGUCCACACUCCAGUCCAGUUGGUGGCGGUAAUGCACCUUAAAGUUGGUUGCCAACCGCCAAAUAAAAUCCACAGAAGAAGAAGACGAAUCAACUCAGGGCACGUCAAAAACCAGAAGUGCAAAUAUCACUGAAACUCCACCUGAUGUGGUGGAAGUUGUCGAACCAGAUCACAACGCCUUGGAGGACCACCUUCAGGCACGGACUGAGAAGGAUGUGGAGGUUUUUGACCAGGUGAGACUGAACAUCGACAAGUUGCAGGAGAAACAGAAGGAGAGCUACCGGAGCAGAAUUAAGAAGGGGACCAAGUGCUUCGACAUCCAGGCAAAUUACUUGGUUUGGAAGAAGGAUGAAAGGAAGGCGAGACCUGGGAAACCUCACUGCUCUUUGGCUCCUAGCUGGGGUCACCAUCUGUUAAGGACCAUCGACUGUCCGAACCCCCAGGAGGUAUCCCAUCCACCAGAACCAGUGAGUUCGGAUCAGUCUGAUUAUCUGUGUUCUGAGUCGUAGGGGGACCAGCUUGAGGACCUAGGGGUUCUGCCCAACACCCAGACGUGGAUCCACCUGAUGUCCUCCAUUACCAACCACCCUUCAACUUUUCAUUACAUCAUCUACAGCUACUGUUGUUGUCAUUAUCUGAUAAGAAAGUUUUCUUGUUCUAUCAUACUGGGCACAUAAUAUGUGAGAUACACAGAUGAACUAAAAACACUAGCACUGCAAACACUCAGAACAAAGAGAGCAGCAGUGCCUGGACUUUGCAGUCUCCCUCUUCAAGUCCCCCUUCCGAGACUGGCUGCCUGUUGAGAACAAGUGACAGGCAGAACCUCCCACUCACACAGCAACCACCUCCUCUAUAUUCCACACACCAGAAUUCUGUCUUUUGAGUGUACAAAAAAUCUGUUUAUGUAUUAAAAUCUUAAAUAUUGCCAGGUUGGUUUUCA